CGCUUAACCGACUGAGCCACCCAGGCGCCCCAGGAGCUACUGUUCUUAACCGCCUGAUCACCGAGCUGAAUUAUCUUCGCUUCUUAAAAAGCAAGGCGAACUAUUUGUUCAGAACAAAAAACUGCACACCGUGAUGUCUCAGUAAUUAUACUAUUGCCCCCAGAGGCAAUAGUAACACCGCAAUCCAGCCACGACAGGGAGGUGGAUGCCGGACUGAGCGGAGGGGGACCUGGUGCUCUGUCCCAGGGCCGGACAUGAGCAGAUUGAAUAGCGCUGAACACAGUCCUGUGGUCCCAGCCCCAAGAUUCCCAUAGGAUUCUGGCCUAGUCCGUGGUGUGCACACCCAUGUGUGUGGCGCACCCAUGUGUGGACCUGCGCUGGCUCCAGGAGUAUCUCUGGUGCGACCAGGAGCCAGGGCUGAGUCAGCUACUGCGCUGCCCUGGGCCCAAGGUUCUCUCGCCUGCGGCUGACGUUCAUUUAUUCAACGCAAAUUGUGCAUUUAUGUGACAGCACUGUUCUAGGUACUGGGGCUGCAGUAAAGAAUAGGACAAACAAAGUUCCUGCAUGCACGGAGUUUGCAUUCUAGUAGGGGUGAUAGACAACACACAAGUGUUGAUCUCGGCCCGGAGUUCCAGGGUGGUUGUGGAUCGGAGAGGGGUGUAGGACCACUAUGAGACCCGUCUCCUGAGUACUGAGCUGCACUGGGCUAGGCUCCAGGACCCAGGAACCACGAUGGGUCAGCCAGACCCCGCCUGAGCCACAGCUCCUUACCAUAGUCUCCAGAUGGAUUUGCCUCUAUGAAAUCCUCUGGCCAGGAACGCUUUUUAGAACCAGUCCCUCCUAGUUAUAGUUAGGCAUAGCUGAAAAUAUUGUUCACUUGUGGAAUUCAGGAUAAAAGCAGCUUAAAUUGCUAUGAUGGCUGAAGAAUAAAAAUCCGAGGGAGAAGGAUGAUUUGUCCCUGGGGAGGUCAGAAGCAGGAGAGGAUGAAAGAGGGAGCCUGGAGAUGUAGGCUCUGAGAUGAUAAAAAGACUCCUUGAGAAUUUGAUGUUUUGCUUCCCAGAGCUGCACCCAGCACUUAGACACACACCCCUGGGCCCUCUCAGAGUUCCGUAUCCUGUAUGCAGUAAAACAGAGCGCAGAAUGCAAGAGAACAUAAACUGGGCAUUUAUCUGCGGCAUGGAGUAUUUCAACUCCCAGGAUAAUGACUUCUUACCCCAAAUCUUUUAGAGGGAUAGAAACAGUGACUCAAAGCCCAGCACUGAUUUCAAACCCAUUAGGCGGACUUGAUUUUAGCCAUGCAGCUUCCUUCUGAUUGAGGGUGUGUGUGCAUUUAUGUCCAAUGCCUCUGUGGUUGUGAACAUUUGUGAGAAAAAAUAACAGGCUUGAAGGUUGGACUAGUACGUUCACCUGGAACUGCACUGGCAGGGCAAGUGAGGGGACAUCUGCUGUGGGGAGCAGAGGGGAGGGCCGGGAUAGCGAAAAAUCCACACAAAGGAUAGCAGGGUAUGUUGGCAGCCAAGAGGGAUUUUCUGGUCACACCGGAAUGUCACUGAAAGCUGGGAAUAAAAGGCUCUACACUGAUGACCGUCUAAGUUCAGGAAAGCACCAUUGAUCGUGACGAGUCACAACCACGCCACUAGGAUUACCUGUCAGGUAAUAGAGGAGGGGCGUUUAGGCAGGAUGGGGAAGUGCAGUGUUUGGGAGGGGGGCGGUGACCCCCUAAAUGUGCCCUCCUAAGGCUUGGGCUAGCCAAACGCCCCACCUUUGCUGAGUUGUUUGCAAAUGUCGGGCUUCCAGAAGUGCAGAGCAAGUGACACUGCUGGGGCACGGGGGAAGAGGCAGGAGGGAGGUGACUGGGCUGGCAGGGUGGCCAGGCAGAGAGGGGAGCAAGGGUAUUCACUGUGGUUUCUGGUCUCUGAGGAGGACUGAAGGUAAGUCCUACACACACCAGUAGACUCUGGAGGUGAGGAUGUUAGAAGGCAGAUGGGCUUGAGAGUGAUAAAUUUGCAAAGAACGCAUGGAUGGCAGAAGAAUGCUGGAAGGUCACAAGCUGGUGGUUCGCUGGAAAAUCUGACUGAAUUUUAUAAGGAGUUGUGUGACGGAGACUUGUUUGUCUACUUAACAGCCACACUCGUAUUUUUCCUUCCUAAGAAAAGAACCCCAUUGCUUUAAGAGGAAGCAAUAAGCCUGCCUAAAAACUAUAUUGCCUAGUUUCUCUAGCAGCUCAGGGUGUUCAAGCAAAACAUGUCUGGCCAAUGAGUGGAAGCCUGCUGGGGAUUUCCAGGAAGGUUCUGCUUUUCUGUUAUAGACAGUAUCCUUUCUUCUUUUUAUUAUUUUCCUCUUUCUCAUUUUUGGAACUUGGAUGUGAUGCCUGGAGCUCCAGCAGUCAUUUUGUGAGAAUGGGGAUGAGUGUUAUACUGCAAGGGCAACUGAUUUAAGUCACUGGCUACAUUGUGGGGCCUUUGCACUAGCCUCAGACUAUCUGCUUUUAGACUUCUUAUUACCAUUUUCUUAGUUAAGCCACUAUUAUUUAUGUUUUCUGCUAUCUGUAACAGCAUUUUAUUCUCUUUUUAAAUGUUCAUUGAUUUAUUUUGGGAGAACAUGUUCAAGUGGGGGAGGGGCAGGAAGAAAGGGAGAAUCCCGUGCAGGCUCCACACUGUCAGCACAGAGUCCGAUGUGGGGUUCAGUCCCAUGAACCCUGAGAUCAUGACCUGAGCCAGGGCUACAGCUUCUCCAUGGCAACAGCAUAAGGAGAAAUUACUGCCCACUCUGCUCCUUGUUCUUGCCCCGACACCAAAGGGAAAGGGGGAGAGUGUGAGUACAGAUACGUGUUCCCUGCCACCAGGCGACUGCCCAUCACUAAGCCUCUAGAGACACGAGUCCAGUCCGUGUGACAGUGUGUGGAGUGAGAUUUUUAACCAUGCUUAAAAAUUGAAAGUGACUUUUAAUAACCAGAAGUAAUUGUCACGUCUUGGAAUCAGGUUGAAAUGUCAUUAAGGAAUCAUGUGACAGAGACUGUUUGUCUACUUAAUGGCCAGUGUGAAAAAAAGUUGAAGCCAAUUUGGAAAAAUUAAGAUGAUUGCAUUUCUGUACCCCCAUAGAACUAAAACAUCUCAAUAAACUAUUUCCAAAACAAA